rnacentral:tRNA from 2 species
GGGUAUAGACUGAAAAAGGGAUAAGGCUGGCCUGUCAAGCCGGAGAUCGCGGGUUCGAUCCCCGUCACUCCCG